GGCGUAGGGGGCGAGCGUUGCCCGGAUUCACUGGGCGUAAAGCGCGUGUAGGCGGUCUGUUAAGUCGGAUGUGAAAGCUCCGGGCUCAACUCGGAAAUUGCAUCCGAUACUGGCAGACUUGAGGACGGUAGAGGUCGGUGGAAUACCAGGUGUACCGGUGAAAUGGGCAGAUAUCAGGAGGAACACCGGUGGCGAAGGCGGGUCUCUGGGCAGUAACUGACGCUGGAGGAGCGAAAGCCGUGGGGAGCGAACAGG
rnacentral:rRNA from 1 species